AUGCCCAAUUGAGCUUGAAGACCUUUUUAGACUUCGGCAUUUUUAAGCCAUUAAACGAUUGCAAAGACAAACCUGCAGUAUCAUUAGAAUCAAAGUCAAGAAAACCAAAGGAAGAGUUUUUGUGAUGAAAAACCUUGGCUCCUUGAAUUGCCACAUUUGAGAAAACGGAUAAAAAGUACUUGUCAUCCAUCCAUGGCUCCAAAUCCCCAAUCCAUAAAGAUUUUCUCGAAUUCCCGGAAGGCUGGCAGCACUUUGUGGUGGUGAUCGGUGUCGCAAUCUCUAUGGAGUCAAGAAAAGUUACAAAAAAGAGAAGAAAAAUGAGGAGUUUCAGCUUCUGAUCCUAUGAAGUUUUGGUGGAAUCGUGACAGGUGUUAAACGACUUUCACGGAAGAACUUUCA